GAUGAACGCUAGCGGCAGGCCUAACACAUGCAAGUCGAACGGUAACAUAGAUUGCUUGCAAUCUGAUGACGAGUGGCGCACGGGUGCGUAACGCGUAUACAAUCUACCUUUUACAGGGGGAUAGCCCAGAGAAAUUUGGAUUAAUACCCCAUGGUAUUGAGAAUUGGCAUCGAUUUUCAAUUAAAGAUUCAUCGGUAAGAGAUGAGUAUGCGUCCUAUUAGCUAGAUGGUAAGGUAACGGCUUACCAUGGCAACGAUAGGUAGGGGCCCUGAGAGGGGGAUCCCCCACACUGGUACUGAGACACGGACCAGACUCCUACGGGAGGCAGCAGUGAGGAAUAUUGGACAAUGGGGGCAACCCUGAUCCAGCCAUGCCGCGUGCAGGAAGACUGCCCUAUGGGUUGUAAACUGCUUUUAUACAGGAAGAAACGCUCCCACGUGUGGGGGUUUGACGGUACUGUAAGAAUAAGGAUCGGCUAACUCCG
rnacentral:rRNA from 1 species